GGAGAAAUGACAGAGUAGGUUUAUUGUAUCUGAUUUGAAAUCAGAAAAACUUUUAUAUAGUUUCGUGGGUUCAAAUCCCACUUUCUCUU
rnacentral:tRNA from 1 species